rnacentral:rRNA from 1 species
UACGAAGGGGGGCUAGCGUUGCUCGGAAUUACUGGGCGUAAAGGGCGCGUAGGCGGAUGUUUAAGUCGGGGGUGAAAGCCCGGGGCUCAACCCCGGAAUUGCCUUCGAUACUGGACAUCUUGAGUACGGGAGAGGUGAGUGGAACUCCGAGUGUAGAGGUGAAAUUCGUAGAUAUUCGGAAGAACACCAGUGGCGAAGGCGACUCACUGGCCCGUUACUGACGCUGAGGCGCGAAAGCGUGGGGAGCAAACAGGG